rnacentral:rRNA from 1 species
CCUACGGGGCGCAGCAGUGAGGAAUAUUGGUCAAUGGGCGUAAGCCUGAACCAGCCAAGUCGCGUGAGGGAUGAAGGUUCUAUGGAUCGUAAACCUCUUUUGUCAGGGAACAAAGGCGGGGACGCGUCCCCGGAUGAGUGUACCUGAAGAAAAAGCAUCGGCUAACUCCGUGCCAGCAGCCGCGGUAAUACGGAGGAUGCGAGCGUUAUCCGGAUUUAUUGGGUUUAAAGGGUGCGCAGGCGGUCUGUUAAGUCAGCGGUCAAAGCCCGGGGCUCAACCCCGGCCCGCCGUUGAAACUGGCAGUCUCGAGUUGGAGAGAAGUAUGCGGAAUGCGCGGUGUAGCGGUGAAAUGCAUAGAUAUCGCGCAGAACUCCGAUUGCGAAGGCAGCAUGCCGGCUCCACACUGACGCUGAGGCACGAAAGCGUGGGUAUCGAACAGGAUUAGAUACCCUGGUAGUC